rnacentral:misc_RNA from 1 species
CUAAAACGCUAAAGUCACAGUAGCGGCAGAAAACCCUAACAAUGACGCAGAAAGACAAUCUAUUCAAAGGACAACAAAAGAGGAAAACAAUCCCUCCUAAUCGCCAUGGCAAAGCACCCAUUACGCGCAAAGGGAAGAGAUUUGUUAAGCCAUCAAAGACUACAAACGAGAUGGAUGUUGAUAGGGAGUUGAGCAAAUUCAUUAAUCAAUGCAAUGAGGUAAAACCAGCCACAAUUGCUAACAAGGAAGCUGGCCAACUAAGUAUUGUCAAGGCG